CUCACUUGCAGGUUUGGUUAUCAGUUAUCAACUUCCACUGGGAUAAACGACAAUUAGGAGGUGGUGGGGACAGGAGUCCUGCCUGUGAAGUCCCAGUUAAUCACCAAGCCAUACAACCUCCCCUAAAGAGUCAAGAGCGGAUGCAGGCUGUUGAUGUUUUUCAUUCAAAGCUCGCAAUGCACCGUUCUGAAAACUCUCCAGCGUAGAAUUCAGGAACCCUGAGUUUUCUAUCUCUGUCUAGUUCUGGACUGAAUGGGCUCAAGUCAUCUAGUUAACCUCUCUGGAUUUCAGUCUUCUGAAAAGUGAAGCUAAGAGAUCUAGCAUUCUGCAGAAAAGUACUGGAGAUGACUCAGGACUGAAAAUGAUCAUGAAGCCCCUUUGCAAAUAUCAAAGUGGUGAUGAAGCAGUCAUGAACUUUGACCAGAAGCCGUGUUUUGUGGGAUUGCCACUUUAAUCGCUCCUGUUCAUCAUUAGGACUGCAGCCAGAGUGUGGAAGGAGUUGGAUGACUUAAACACCACCCCUGAGAGGCAGCUGUUUCCAGAAUAUUGCACAAUUUAUUGAGUUCAUGAGAAUCGUGAUCGUUGGCAGCACCGAACUUCACGGAGGGAAUCAUAGGCACUUUAAUUCCAAUUUGUUGACUUAUGGAGGAAGAAAUUUCUCCCAGUGGUGUCCCUUCAUCCAGGAACAAGAGCCAUCAAAGUGUCACAGACUUAGAGCCGGAAGGGCUCUCCGCUAGUGUUUCUGCCAGUCCUCUUGGUUUUACACAUGAGGAAACUGAGGCCCAGAGAAGUUACCCAGUAGCAGAUCUGCAAGUCACCCAGUAGCAGAUCUGCAAGGAGCUCUUAGCAAUCCUGACUCCAAGUGUAAUGCUCUUGCAUUAGCUCUGUGCUGCCUCCUAGAUGUUGGUCUUCUUAAUGUUGAUAGCACAUUUGCUCAAAUGUUUGCUAAUAUGGUUUGGCUGUGUCCUCACCCAAAUCUCAUCUUGAAUUGUAGUUCCCAUAAUCCCCACUUGUCGUGGCAGGGACCCAGUGGGAGGUAAUUUAAUCAUGGGUGUGGUUACCCUCAUGCUGUUCUCAUGAUAGGGAGUGAAGUCUCACGAGAUCUGAUGGUUUUAUAAACAAGAGUUCUCCUGCACAAGCUCUGUUGCCUGCUGCCAUGUAAGAAGUCCCUUUGCUCUUCCUUCAUCUUCCGCCAUGAUUGUGAGGCCUCCCCAGCCAUAAGGAACCAUGAGUUCAUUAAACCUCUUUUUUUAUAAAUUACACAGUCUCCAGUAUGUCUUUAUUAGUAGCGUGAGAACAGACUAAUACA
rnacentral:lncRNA from 10 species